AGAGGUAUCAUGCUUCCUGAUUUCAAACUAUACUACAAAGCUACAGUAACAACAACAGCAUGGUACAGGCACAAAAACAGAUACAGAGAUCAACAGAAUAGAAUAGACAUAAACCCAUGCUUAUCUGGUCAAUAAGUCACUGACAAAGCAGGUAAGAGCAUACAAUGGACAAAAGACAGUCUCCUCAAUAAAUGGUGAUGGGAAAACGGGACAGCUACAUACAAAAGAAUGAAACUGUACCACUAUCUUAGACCAUAUACAAAAAGAAACUCAAAAUGAAGUAAAGACUUGAAUGUAAGACCGGAAACCACAAAAUUCCUAGAAGAAAACAGGCAAUAAGCUCUUUGACAUCAACCCCAGCAAUAUUUUUUUGGACCAGUCUCCUCAGGCAAGGUUAACAAAAGCAACAAUAAAUGAGUGGGACCACAUCCAACUAAAAAUCUUUUGUAGAGAAAAGGGAGCCAUCAACAAAACAAAAAAGGCAACCUACCGACUGGGAGAAGAUCCUUGCAAAUCAUACAUCCAAUAAGGGGUUAAUAUCCAAAAUACAUAAAGAACCUCCACAGCUUCUCAAACAACCCAAUUAAAAAGUGAGCAGAGGACUUAAACAGACAUUCUCCCAAAGAAAACAUCCAGAUGGCCAACACACACAUGAAAAAUCCUCAACAUCGCAAAUCAUCAGGGAAACACAAAUCAAAACCACAGUGAGAUAUCCCCUUACGCUGAUCAGGAUUGGCUGUUAUCAAGAAGGCAAGAAAUAACACGUGUUAGUGAGGAUGUGGGAAAAGGGGAAACUUUGUGCACUGUUGGAGGGAACAUAAAUUGGUGCAGUCUGGAAAACAGUACAGAGAUUCCUCAAAAAUUGAAAAAAAGAACUACCAUAUGAUCAGCAAUCCACUUCUGGGUAUUUCUCCAAAGAAAAUGAAACCACCAAUUCAAAGAGAUAAAUGCACCCCUAUGUUUACUGUCAGUUUUCUUUAUAGCCAAGAUAUGGAAGCAACCUGAGUGGCCACUGAUAGAUGAGUGGAUAAAGAAGAUGUGGUACACAUAUACAAUGGAAUACUACUCAGCCAUAAAACAGAAUACAACCUUGUCGUUUGCAGCAACAUGGAUGGACAAUGAGGGUAUAAUGCUAAGGGAAAUGAGACAGAGAAAGACAGAUACCCUACUAUUUCACUUAUAUGUGGAAUGUGAAAAACAAAACAAACCCAAAAAACAGACUCAUAGACACCAGAAACCAGCUGUUGGUUACCAGAUUAGGGAGGAGGUCCAAAGUCAGGGGAAAUAGAAGAAGGGGAUUAAGAGGCACACACUUCCAGUUAUAAAAUAAGUAAGUCAUGGGGAUGUAAUGUACAGCCUAGGGAAUACAGUCAAUAAUACUGUAAUAACUUUGUAUGGUACAGGUAACUAGACUUACUGUGGCUAUUUCCUAACAUACAAAACUAAUGAAUCACUAUGAUAUACACCUGAAACUAAUAGGAUGUUGGAUGCCAACUAUACCUCAAUUUUAAAAACAAAUAUUGAGUUACAAACAGAAAAGUAGUGCAUGGGGUGCCUGGGUGGCUCAGUUGGUUAAGCGUCCGACUUCAGCUCAGGUCAUGAUCUCGCGGUCCGUGGGUUCGAGCCCCACGUCGGGCUCUGUGCUGACAGCUCAGAGCUUGGAGCCUGUUUCAGAUUCUGUGUCUCCCUCUUUCUCUGACCCUCCCCUGUUCAUGCUCUGUCUCAAAAAUAAAUAAACGUUAAAAAAAAUGUUAAAAAAAAUCACUACAAUCAAUACAACCAAUUUCACUUUUGCAUACCUUUCUAUAAGUGGAGCAUAA